CCUACGGGAGGCAGCAGUGGGGAAUUUUGGACAAUGGGCGCAAGCCUGAUCCAGCAAUGCCGCGUGCAGGAUGAAGGCCUUCGGGUUGUAAACUGCUUUUGUACGGAACGAAACGGCGAGCUCUAAUAAAGUUCGCUAAUGACGGUACCGUAAGAAUAAGCACCGGCUAACUACGUGCCAGCAGCCGCGGUAAUACGUAGGGUGCAAGCGUUAAUCGGAAUUACUGGGCGUAAAGCGUGCGCAGGCGGUGAUGUAAGACAGAUGUGAAAUCCCCGGGCUCAACCUGGGACCUGCAUUUGUGACUGCAUCGCUAGAGUACGGUAGAGGGGGAUGGAAUUCCGCGUGUAGCAGUGAAAUGCGUAGAUAUGCGGAGGAACACCGAUGGCGAAGGCAAUCCCCUGGACCUGUACUGACGCUCAUGCACGAAAGCGUGGGGAGCAAACAGGAUUAGAUACCCUGGUAGUCCACGCCCUAAACGAUGUCAACUGGUUGUUGGGUCUUCACUGACUCAGUAACGAAGCUAACGCGUGAAGUUGACCGCCUGGGGUGGUUCGGCCGCGAGGUUGUAACGUUACGAAGGAGUGACGGCGUUGAGACGNGCCGACGGACGACGACGAGGGAGGAGG
rnacentral:rRNA from 1 species